rnacentral:lncRNA from 1 species
GUUGAGAAAUACGGACAAAAGCCAAGGAGAGGAGGGUUCAGUGCACAGCCAUGCAUCGAGGUUUUGAAUAUUUUUAUAAUUCUAAAAUACACAUGAUACUUCAUGAGGGCUGUUUCUCAAUGUAUUAUAUACAUUACCAUUUGAAAUAAUGCCUUUUGUAAGGAAAGCCUUUGACGUAACAAGCACAAUGGAAGAGAGCUCUUAAAUUUUAAAAUCAUAUGGAUUGACCCAUGAUUUUUGGAUGCUGGAGAAGCUGCUUUGAUUCUCAGAAAAAGACAAAAAGGAACUUGGUUUUUUUUUUUAUUGCAUAAUUUUCAAAUCUUUGAAAUUCAACUCCAAAAGACAGUGGUUAAUAGUCAAAUUGCUGACAUUGUUAAA